UACGUAGGGGGCUAGCGUUGUCCGGAAUCAUUGGGCGUAAAGCGCGCGUAGGCGGCCAGAUAAGUCCGGUGUGAAAGUCAAAGGCUCAACCUUUGAAUGCCGCUGGAAACUGUCUGGCUAGAGUCCGGAAGGGGCGAGUGGAACUCCUGGUGUAGCGGUGAAAUGCGCAGAUAUCAGGAAGAACACCAAUGGCGAAGGCAGCUCGCUAGGACGGUACUGACGCUGAGACGCGAAAGCGUGGGGAGCGAACAGG
rnacentral:rRNA from 1 species